rnacentral:rRNA from 1 species
AACGAUGGAUACCGCUAACGGUGGUGGAUUAGUGGCGAACGGGUGAGUAACACGUGGGCAAUCUGCCCUUCACUCUGGGACAAGCCCUGGAAACGGGGUCUAAUACCGGAUAAUACUCCUGCCUGCAUGGGUGGGGGUUGAAAGCUCCGGCGGUGAAGGAUGAGCCCGCGGCCUAUCAGCUUGUUGGUGGGGUAAUGGCCUACCAAGGCGACGACGGGUAGCCGGCCUGAGAGGGCGACCGGCCACACUGGGACUGAGACACGGCCCAGACUCCUACGGGAGGCAGCAGUGGGGAAUAUUGCACAAUGGGCGAAAGCCUGAUGCAGCGACGCCGCGUGAGGGAUGACGGCCUUCGGGUUGUAAACCUCUUUCAGCAGGGAAGAAGCGCAAGUGACGGUACCUGCAGAAGAAGCGCCGGCUAACUACGUGCCAGCAGCCGCGGUAAUACGUAGGGCGCAAGCGUUGUCCGGAAUUAUUGGGCGUAAAGAGCUCGUAGGCGGCUUGUCACGUCGGAUGUGAAAGCCCGGGGCUUAACCCCGGGUCUGCAUUCGAUACGGGCUAGCUAGAGUGUGGUAGGGGAGAUCGGAAUUCCUGGUGUAGCGGUGAAAUGCGCAGAUAUCAGGAGGAACACCGGUGGCGAAGGCGGAUCUCUGGGCCAUUACUGACGCUGAGGAGCGAAAGCGUGGGGAGCGAACAGGAUUAGAUACCCUGGUAGUCCACGCCGUAAACGUUGGGA